rnacentral:rRNA from 1 species
GAUGAACGCUGGCGGCGUGCCUAAUACAUGCAAGUCGAGCGAACAGACGAGGAGCUUGCUCCUCUGUCGUUAGCGGCGCACGUGUGAGUAACACGUGUAUAACCUACCUAUAAGACGGGGAUAACUUCGGAACACCGGCGCUAAUACCGGAUAAUAUAUUUAACCGCAUGGUUCAAUAGUGAAAGACGGGUUUUCUGUUACGUAUAGAUGGUUCCGCGCCGCAUUAGCUAGUUGGUAAGGUAAAGGCUUACCAAGGCAACGAUGCGUAGCCGAACUGAGAGGGUGAUCGGCCACACUGGAACUGUGACCCGGUACAGAGUCCUACGGGAGGGAGCAGUAGGGAAUCGGCAGCAAGGGGCGAAAGCCUUACGGAGAAAGGCCGAGGGAGGGAUGAAGGUCGUCGGAUCGUAAAUCUCUGUUAUUGGGGAAGAACAAAUUUGUAAGUAACUAUGCACGUCUUGACGGUACCUAAUAAGAAAGGCACGGCUAACUAAGUG